UGAAUGAGUUCUCCAUAUUCUGAUUUCUUUUUAAUUGCCCAUUCUCUUAAUAGCAAGCUUGGAUUUGGGUGAGCCUUGUGUGUUAGAGACUUGGAAGAUUUAUAUAUAUAUACACACACAAUACUAUGAGUGUAAGAAAACUUUGAAGGUUUAGAAAUCUGAAGGGAAAGGAAGGAAGGGUUUCUUUCGCUGUUUAAACAAAUCGGCUGGUGAUUCCUGUAUUGUUGUAGCAGCCACCCUUCUGCUGUGUCUGUGUGACAGAGACGUCCUUGAGAGCUGGAUAGAUGGUGAUGGUGGGGACAGUGCAGUAAUCAUGACAAGCUUUCAUUAUUGCUCUGGCUAGCCCAGCUCUUUAAUGAGGAUGUAAUGAAUAGAAGCCUGGUUAAUUCUGCCUUCACCCGAGGAGGAAGGGACGCUGGAGCCACCAUUAUAACUAGCAUUUAUUGCCAGUAAACAUGACAUUAAGGGUCAUAUGAAAGUGACCCCAAUUUGCUGCUUCAAUAUAUCCAUAUUAAUGCCCAGAUGCACCAUAUUUUGCAGAAAUUAACUGAUUUUAUUUAAAUGGUAGCCAGUUAAAUUGGGGGGUGUACUGUUUUCCUGUUUGUUUGGCUGGAGAGAAGGGACGCUAGCAGUCCUAGGCAGUAUGCCAAGCCAGGGCAAGCUUGCUGAAAGUGUAUUCCUGCAAUUCAUCACACUGUGCUUGGACCACUGAGCCCUUCACCAUCCGGCUUCAGGGGGCAGAGAGCACUCCUUGCUUCUAGACCAGACACUCUUGCCAGAGAGGGAAGAAGAAAAGGAGAACAGUUAAGGGAAGAGACCAUCAAGGAAAGACAAGGGGUACAAAACAGUACAAUGAAUGACAGAGCUGACAGAAAUUCAGAAAAGGAGCCCAAGGCCAAAGAGGACAUCUUCUCUUCAGAAAAGUUGGAGAAACAAGAGCAAGAAGUCUGUCCUCUCAGCAUCAUCCAUCAUGCCUGUCCCAUCUGCCCCAAGCAGGCUUAUGUCACUGAGGAGGACCAUGGCGGAUACAAGCAAAGUGCUUUGUGAGGUACCCAGGGGGAGGAUUAGCUCUGCCUUCUUCCUCCGUUCUCUGCUUCAGUGAGAUUGACGCCUGGAUCAAGGAGUAACCCUCCUAUGUAGGGUCUUACUAGACACCAAACAAAAUAACAGCAUUAGGCUUGCUCCAACAUCUGCUCCAAAUGGGGAGGGACGGUCCUUUCUAUUGGUUGAUGGACUUGGUAUCACUUGUGCCCUUGUGAGAUGAAGCACAUCAUGCCUGAAUCUAGUGGGCUUUUAAUAAAUGCUUACUCAGGGAAUGAAUGAACAAACAAAUGAAUGAAUGAAUGAAUGAAUGAAUUCUAGCUGGACCACAAGGCUGCCAUGGUUCAGAUACUCCUAUGGUUUCACCAUGAGACUACAGUGUCCUGGGUUGAAUCUCUAAUCUGGCUAACACUUUUUAUCUACCAAAUUGAGGAGAACAUUACCAAGUUCAUAUCUCAUUCUGAUGGAGAGAUUUUCUUUCCUCUUCCAGUGAUUUUUGAUUUUCCAGCUUUUGUCAUGUCCAGUAUUUAACAGAAAUAAAAGUCACUCUCCUUUUU